rnacentral:rRNA from 1 species
AUUGAACGCUGGCGGCAUGCCUUACACAUGCAAGUCGAACGGCAGCACGGGAGCUUGCUCCUGGUGGCGAGUGGCGAACGGGUGAGUAAUACAUCGGAACGUACCCUGAAGUGGGGGAUAACGUAGCGAAAGCUACGCUAAUACCGCAUAUUCUGUGAGCAGGAAAGAGGGGGAUCGCAAGACCUCUUGCUUUAGGAGCGGCCGAUGUCGGAUUAGCUAGUUGGUGAGGUAAAGGCUCACCAAGGCGACGAUCCGUAGCGGGUCUGAGAGGAUGAUCCGCCACACUGGGACUGAGACACGGCCCAGACUCCUACGGGAGGCAGCAGUGGGGAAUUUUGGACAAUGGGCGCAAGCCUGAUCCAGCCAUGCCGCGUGCGGGAAGAAGGGCCUUCGGGUUGUAAACUGCUUUAAUCUAGGAAUAAACCCCGGUUCGUGAGCCGGGUUGAAGGUACUGGUUGAAUAAGCACCGGCUAACUCGUGCCAGCAGCCGCGGUAAU